GCCCAGGUGGAGGAACGGCAGACUCGGAGGUCUCAAAAACCUCUGCCCUUGCGGGCGUGCGGGUUCGAAUCCCGCCCUGGGCA
rnacentral:tRNA from 1 species